AUACGUAGGGGGCGAGCGUUGUCCGGAAUGAUUGGGCGUAAAGGGCGCGUAGGCGGCCCGGUAAGUCUGGAGUGAAAGCCCUGUUUUUAAGAUGGGACUUGCUUUGGAUACUGUCGGGCUUGAGUGCAGGAGAGGUAAGUGGAAUUCCCAGUGUAGCGGUGAAAUGCGUAGAGAUUGGGAGGAACACCAGUGGCGAAGGCGACUUACUGGACUGUAACUGACGCUGAGGCGCGAAAGUGUGGGGAGCAAACAGGAUUAGAUACCCUGGUAGUCCACACUGUAAACGAUGAAUGCUAGGUGUAGGGGGUAUCGACCCCUUCUGUGCCGCAGUCAACACAAUAAGCAUUCCGCCUGGGGAGUACGGCCGCAAGGUUGAAACUCAAAUGAAUUGGCGGGG
rnacentral:rRNA from 1 species